rnacentral:rRNA from 1 species
UAAAACCUAUUUAUUUUGGCGGCAAUUAACCUUAUUAGAGGAACUUGUUUAAUAAUCGAUAAUUCACGUUAUUUUUUACUAUAAAAUACAAUUUAUAUAUCGUCAUCUUAAGAGUUAAUUCUUAUAAAUUAUUCUAAAUAAUAAUAUUAAUUAAAAAGUUAGAUCAAGGUGUAAUUUUAUUAUAGAUAAAAUGAGUUACUUUAAAGAAUAUUUAAAAAUUGUUUAUUAAAAAUUAAACAUGAAAUAGGAUUUAAACGCAAUAUUAAAAUAUUAUUUUAAUAUGAAUUAGAAAUAA